GUAUAACAAUAAUAUAAUACCCUCCCCCCCAGAAGUGUGAAACAAAAGCAGUGGUUGGGCGCAGCAGUUAGCAGUACCAUAUUUUUUCAUUCGUGGUUGUGGAAAGGGUCUCUCGACAUCCCCAGAUUUGGACCUUUCAAAAACUUUACGGAAGGGCAAGACCUUGACAAAUUAUCUCGCGUGUGAAUUCUUCGGUUGAGAAAGUGUUCUAAAGGCUCAGACAUGACCUCACCUCUAGAGUUUGAUAGCAGAUCUUGAUCCAAAGGUGAGCAUUCCGUCUCCAGGCUGCCAUUGGUUAUCUUAUUUGUUCUUGUCCAUCUUUUGGGCAAUGAAACAUUCUUUAUUUACU